UUCAGUCAGGCAUCCUUGCACCAAACAAGCUCGUCUGCUCCCUCCCCUGUGGGUUUGAAUUAGUCCCACUUUACAUUAGUUUCAAACACCUGUAACUACAGUUCCAUGACAAUUUAAGCGGCCCUUUAACCCUACGCUCUCCCACAAACCAAACGUGCAUUCCUGCUCCCCCCUUUCCACUGGCUUUUGCUGUUAUCAGAUCUUGUGGUGGGCCCAGUCAGGGAGCUGAAAUGGUAGGAAAAUAAUCUAACUAAAGUGAAUAUUUGCUUUACCACUGGACAAGUUGAGAACAAUUAAGUAUAUCUUGAAUAAUUCUGAGCUCAACAGGGCAUGAGUGGUACUUCUGUAUGAUAAAAGCAUAGGAAAUCCUUAACUGUUAUUCUGUAUGGUUAGUGUCAAAGUAAUCUUACAUAUUUUUAUACAUACAUUGCAUUGAAGAGGGCAUUCUUAAACAUGUAGCUUUUGAAAAUUUUACUUAAGUAGACUGAAAAAUUGAUUAAAGAGGUGAAUGGACAUGGAGAUUUUUAACUGUAGAUUUAAACCUAGCUCUGACCAGAUGUAUCCCACUCUUUUGCAUAGUCUAGUGGCCUGAUGGUAAAGCUCAUCCACGUUUAUUAGCUGUCUUGUUGGAAUCUAAGCGAAGAAAUCAAAGUCCAAAUAUAUCCAACGUGAACUGAUAUAUCCCUGCAGAGGCACCUUCGCUGGUUAUAAUGAGAAGGAAAAACCGAAUGCAAACUGCCUGGGGGUGCAUUGCCCAACGCUGGGAGCUGCUGUAGUUAUGGCUGGAGGCCACCAACACAACUGCUCCUCUUCUCCUGCUCAGGCUCAAUGCUCAUUGCCAUCCUGGGAUGCUCUGGGGGAGAAGAAGAUCUUUGAAAAGCCAUUCUGGGGAAAGUUUUGUGCUCACUUACAAAUACAACAUAACCGUGUGGAACCUGGAUGAGGUAGUCUUUUAAUGUGGUUAAGUUUUUAUGGAAAUGAAACUCGUGAAGUUCAUAAACAGAACUGUUAUUUGUUUGCACGUGCUGUUUCUGUUACAGGGAGGUGCUACACACGCACCCAUAAAAUGUGCCUUUCAGCUCAAGUUUCAGGAUCCCUUUAAUCCAGUCCGAGGCUAUCGGGGUGGGUUCUGCCUUUUCCUCCUCGCCUUUUGGCCUUUUCCCCUGUGUUGGUGGAGCAGUUUUCACCAGGGCUGUGAGCGGAGUGACCCGCUCCCCGGCUGCACGCUCAGAUUGAAGCUGUGGGGCAGCCUGGGAGGUGCUCUGUGUCAAGGAAGAAGGUUGGAGCCUUCCUGGUGUAUUUUCCUGCCUGGCAAACCCUUGUUUACGAACUGGAGAGCAAAGAAAACCCUGAAGGAUAAAAAUUGUGAAAAAUGGAGAGCCUGCUGCUGUUACCUCAAACCUCACCUCAGACAGCGUACAGGGCAGCUGGAAUGUGGAGCCAAAGCGUCAGCUUUGGUUUCUGAAGAGAAAAUUGGAGGUAGAAAAUGUGAACUAGCUAUGCCGACUGUGAGCGUGCAUCCAGGUCUCCAGAGGAUGUGAAAUUGCAAACUUGGUCUUCAGUGGAACAGAUAAGCAAAAUGUGAGUCAUGGCAAGAGUGGGACCAGAGGG
rnacentral:lncRNA from 1 species